GGCCUCUGUCGUGUAGUGGUAACACGUGUUUCUGGUACAAAUAAAAACGCGGGUUCAACCCCCGUCCGAGGUCG